UAGCGUUACUUGUCAAGUACAUACCAAAUAGGUUGUUGUGGGGAGCUUAUUUGCAUAUGCCUACCCAGAAUCCCUUGCAGUAGUGAGAUUUAAAGUGAGAUUUCUGUGGUGAAAGCACGUCUUAUGUCUUGCCUGUUGUGUGUAUUUUUGUUUAACAUUAAAUUAACUAUAAACUUAUUUCAGGUGGAAGGUUUUUUCAUCCACACUUUUUCCCCACCACAAUUUAUUUGGUAUGUACUUAACAAGUAACGCCAAG